rnacentral:rRNA from 1 species
GACGAACGCUGGCGGCGUGCCUAAUACAUGCAAGUCGAGCGAGCUUGCCUAGAUGAAUUUGGUGCUUGCACCAGAUGAAACUAGAUACAAGCGAGCGGCGGACGGGUGAGUAACACGUGGGUAACCUGCCCAAGAGACUGGGAUAACACCUGGAAACAGAUGCUAAUACCGGAUAACAACACUAGACGCAUGUCUAGAGUUUAAAAGAUGGUUCUGCUAUCACUCUUGGAUGGACCUGCAGUGCAUUAGCUAGUUGGUAAGGCAACGGCUUACCAAGGCAAUGAUGCAUAGCCGAGUUGAGAGACUGAUCGGCCACAUUGGGACUGAGACACGGCCCAAACUCCUACGGGAGGCAGCAGUAGGGAAUCUUCCACAAUGGACGCAAGUCUGAUGGAGCAACGCCGCGUGAGUGAAGAAGGGUUUCGGCUCGUAAAGCUCUGUUGGUAGUGAAGAAAGAUAGAGGUAGUAACUGGCCUUUAUUUGACGGUAAUUACUUAGAAAGUCACGGCUAACUACGUG